GACGAACGCUGGCGGCGUGCUUAACACAUGCAAGUCGAACGGAAUGGCCCUUUUAUUGUGGGGUGCUCAAGUGGCGAAAGACUGAGUAACACGUGAGUAACCUACCCUUGACUUAGGUGUCACUUAAGGGGAGUGGAGAUAGUAACAGAUAUGCUAUCACGCUGCAAGGACGCGCUUGGGCAGGUUCGGCGGUUGGGGAUGGACUCGCGGCAUAUCAGCUUGCUGGUGGGGUAGCGGCUUACCAGGUCAUUGCCGGGUAGCCGGCCUGAGAGGGUGACCGGCCACAUUGGGAUGGAGAUGCGGCCCAGACUACUACGGGAGGCAGCAGUGGAGAAGAGUGCACAAUGGGCGGAGGCCUGAUGCAGCGACGCCGCGUGCGGGAUGACGGCAUUCAUGUUGGAAAGCGCUUUCGCCUGUGACGAAGCGUGAGUGACGGUAAUGGGAAAAGAAGCACCGGCUAACUACGUG
rnacentral:rRNA from 1 species